rnacentral:rRNA from 1 species
GCCUGGGAAUAUGCCUUGAUGUGGGGGAUAACCAUUGGAAACGAUGGCUAAUACCGCAUAAUGCCUUCGGGCCAAAGAGGGGGACCUUCGGGCCUCUCGCGUCAAGAUUAGCCCAGGUGGGAUUAGCUAGUUGGUGAGGUAAUGGCUCACCAAGGCGACGAUCCCUAGCUGGUCUGAGAGGAUGAUCAGCCACACUGGAACUGAGACACGGUCCAGACUCCUACGGGAGGCAGCAGUGGGGAAUAUUGCACAAUGGGCGCAAGCCUGAUGCAGCCAUGCCGCGUGUGUGAAGAAGGCCCU